rnacentral:rRNA from 1 species
CCUACGGGAGGCAGCAGUAGGGAAUAUUGCUCAAUGGGGGAAACCCUGAAGCAGCAACGCCGCGGGGAGGAUGAAGGUUUUCGGAUUGUAAACUCCUUUUGUUAGAGAAGAUAAUGACGGUAUCUAACGAAUAAGCACCGGCUAACUCCGUGCCAGCAGCCGCGGUAAUACGGAGGGUGCAAGCGUUACUCGGAAUCACUGGGCGUAAAGAGCGCGUAGGCGGGAUAGCAAGUCAGAUGUGAAAUCCUAGGGCUUAACCAUAGAACUGCAUUUGAAACUGUUAUUCUAGAGUAUGGGAGGGGUAGGUGGAAUUGUUGGUGUAGGGGUAAAAUGCGUAGAGAUCAGGAGGAAUACUCAUUGCGAAGGCAGCCUGCCGGGGUGCGACUGACGCUGAGGCUCGAAGGUGCGGGUAUCAAACAGGAUUAGAUACCCCUGUAGUC